UACGAAGGGGGCUAGCGUUGCUCGGAAUCACUGGGCGUAAAGCGCACGUAGGCGGAUUGUUAAGUCAGGGGUGAAAUCCUGGAGCUCAACUUCAGAACUGCCUUUGAUACUGGCGAUCUCGAGUCCGGGAGAGGUGAGUGGAACUGCGAGUGUAGAGGUGAAAUUCGUAGAUAUUCGCAAGAACACCAGUGGCGAAGGCGGCUCACUGGCCCGGUACUGACGCUGAGGUGCGAAAGCGUGGGGAGCAAACAGG
rnacentral:rRNA from 1 species